UAGCUCUCAUCCUUUUAAAAAUACGUUUCCUGGGUUCUGUUUUUUGGUAGAGGUCACAUAAAGGUGAUAUUUUUGUCGUGGGACCAACAGGUGAAAAACUGUUGUGUAAAAAACUUUGUGCCACCAGAGCCCCAUUCUACCUCGAGUGCCAACCAAAGCAUAGAAUUCACUUCCACCUCUCAGUCUGCUUUUCCUCUUCUUUAUUUCUCCAUGAGGAAGUUUAGUUUUUCUCAGUCAUUUCAAGUUGUGUGCUUAGAAAGUCAGGAAGGACGCCCAGGACAUUCAACGUCUCUGAGGAUGCCGUGAGCAGGAAGUGGAUGUGGCAGGAAAACAGAUUUAUGGUCAGCGAGACAAACCCUAAUCAUUAAUGCCACAAAGUAACAGCAGAAGCCAACGUGUUCUGAAGGAUUGAAUUGCUUCAGUGGCAAAGAGGAGAGACACCCCACCCCUCCCAAAAUUCAGCCUGGUUGGGGAAAACACAAGAUGCUGAUUAGAGCUGCUCCAGUGACUGCCUGGUUUAUAUUCCACAAAGAUUUAUUUCA